UACGGAGGGUGCAAGCGUUAUCCGGAUUUACUGGGUUUAAAGGGUGCGUAGGUGGGUGAAUAAGUCAGCGGUGAAAUCUCCGGGCUUAACUCGGAAACUGCAUUCGAUACUGCCGUGCUUGAGGACUGGAGAGGAGACUGGAAUUUACGGUGUAGCGGUGAAAUGCGUAGAUAUCGUAAGGAAGACCAGUGGCGAAGGCGGGUCUCUGGACAGUUCCUGACGCUGAGGCACGAAGGUCAGGGGAGCAAACGGG
rnacentral:rRNA from 1 species